AGAGAGAGAGAGAGAGAGAGAGGAGUGAUGGAGGAGAUGGCAUCAGGAACGAGGGAGAGGGAUUUGUGUGGGUGUGGAAGGCAAGAAAGAUUGAUUUGGCGUCAGUAACGAGGAUAUGUGAAGGGAUGAUUCCACUCCUCUACAAUAUUAUUCAAUGCCAGGGAUAAUAAUCCAAUCCCAUCCCUUUCCUUCAUUACUCCUUCCUAUUGCUUCUGACUCUUUUACUUAUUAUAUCCUCUCCCUCCCUCCAUCUCUCUCUCUGCCUCUUCCUCUCCCACUUGCAUGCGUGCAGCCCACUCAAGAAAUCUCCUCCUUUUAGUAGUAGUAGAAGGAGAAGACCUUUCUCUCACUGUCUAUUCUCUCUUUUUUUUUUUACUUUAUAUAUAUGUGUAUCUAUCUUUCUCUGGAGGCUGAAGUGGACGGAGAGAUGAUGGUGGUGUUUCAUGUGGGUUUUUCAAAGGGUUUCUUACGGAGUUUAUUGGCAUUCUGUCCACCUCCAGUGAGAAGAGAAGAAUAAAAAGAAAAACCCAUGUGUUGUUUCUUGUUAAUGGAGGUGGGCAUACUGCCAACUGAGCUAUGUCGGUUUCUCUUUGUGAAACCUAUGUGAUAUGAUUUGAGACUGGGUUGUGUAAUUUAUUCCUUCUCUUCAGUUAAAAGGAUGUGCAAAUGUGGUUCCGAGAAACAGCAAUGGAGAUAUCAAAGAAGACCUUUCAAGGUUUGAGUAUAUCUCUCCUUUCAAAACCCUAGUACUUUUUAUUUUUAAUAUUUACUUUUACCAAACCAUGAUUUAGAGAAAUGGGUGUCUUGCAAAGCUUCUUUUCGUGCCUGUUAUCAUUUCUAGGCUUUCCGAAGAAAGGAAAGCAUUGAGGAGAUAGGAGAUGGUCAUAAUCGCUUGUGGAAAGUGAUUGGUGGAUAUCAUCUUUUUCAAUCCGCCGGAGAAUCAUUAGGGAUUGCAUGCUAAUCUCAUUCCCACCUACUGUAUCCUCUUAUAUUCAUGUAUCCUAUUUCGUUUUGCAUCAGUUGCAACUCAGGAUGUGUGUUGCCACCUACUGGGCCCACAAACUGAGCUAGGCUGAUCAUCUGAACCGUCCAUAUUCUAGUUGCUUCCUCGAAGUUUACAUGAUCUUAACCUUUGAUUUUUACAGUUGAAUGCAAGCAUGGAAAAUUUUCUUUUCAU